UCCUACGGGAGGCAGCAGUGGGGAAUAUUGCACAAUGGGCGAAAGCCUGAUGCAGCGACGCCGCGUGGGGGAAGACGGUCUUCGGAUUGUAAACCCCUUUCAGUAGGGACGAAGCGCAAGUGACGGUACCUGCAGAAGAAGCACCGGCUAACUACGUGCCAGCAGCCGCGGUAAUACGUAGGGUGCGAGCGUUGUCCGGAAUUACUGGGCGUAAAGAGCUCGUAGGCGGUUUGUCACGUCGUCUGUGAAAUCCCUCGGCUUAACCGGGGGCGUGCAGGCGAUACGGGCAGACUUGAGUACUACAGGGGAGACUGGAAUUCCUGGUGUAGCGGUGAAAUGCGCAGAUAUCAGGAGGAACACCGGUGGCGAAGGCGGGUCUCUGGGUAGUAACUGACGCUGAGGAGCGAAAGCAUGGGUAGCGAACAGGAUUAGAUACCCUGGUAGUCCAUGCCGUAAACGGUGGGCGCUUGGUGUGGGGUCCUUCCACGGACUCCGUGCCGUAGCUAACGCAUUAAGCGCCCCGCCUGGAGACGCCGACAGU
rnacentral:rRNA from 1 species